rnacentral:rRNA from 1 species
CAGUCGCCGCGGUAAUACGUAGGUGGCAAGCGUCGUCCGGAAUUAUUGGGCGUAAAGGGCUCGCAGGCGGUUUCUUAAGUCUGAUGUGAAAGCCCCCGGCUCAACCGGGGAGGGUCAUUGGAAACUGGGAAACUUGAGUGCAGAAGAGGAGAGUGGAAUUCCACGUGUAGCGGUGAAAUGCGUAGAGAUGUGGAGGAACACCAGUGGCGAAGGCGACUCUCUGGUCUGUAACUGACGCUGAGGAGCGAAAGCGUGGGGAGCGAACAGGAUUAGAUACCCCGGUAGUCCCUGUCUCUUAUAC